rnacentral:rRNA from 1 species
AGGUUAAGUGAAUAAGGGCGCACGGUGGAUGCCUUGGCACUAGGAGCCGAUGAAGGACGGGACUAACACCGAUAUGCUUUGGGGAGCUGUACGUAAGCUAUGAUCCAGAGAUUUCCGAAUGGGGGAACCCAACAUCUUUAAUAGGAUGUUACGAUUGUGUGAAUACAUAGCACAUUCGAGGUAGACGCAGAGAACUGAAACAUCUAAGUACCUGCAGGAAGAGAAAGAAAAUUCGAUUCCCUGAGUAGCGGCGAGCGAAACGGGAAAAGCCCAAACCAGCAAGCUUGCUUGUUGGGGUUGUAGGACUCCAAUAUGGUAGUUCUUUCAGAUAGUCGAAUGACUUGGAAAAGUCAGUCAAAGAGGGUAAAAACCCCGUAGACGAAAUGUGGAAGACACCUAGGAGGAUCCUGAGUACGGCGGAACACGAGAAAUUCCGUCGGAAUCCGGGAGGACCAUCUCCCAAGGCUAAAUACUCCCUAGUGACCGAUAGUGAACCAGUACCGUGAGGGAAAGGUGAAAAGCACCCCGGAAGGGGAGUGAAAUAGAACCUGAAACCGUGUGCCUACAACAAGUCAAAGCCCGUUAAUGGGUGAUGGCGUGCCUUUUGUAGAAUGAACCGGCGAGUUACGAUUGCAUGCGAGGUUAAGUUGAAGAGACGGAGCCGCAGCGAAAGCGAGUCUGAAUAGGGCGUUUGAGUAUGUAGUCGUAGACCCGAAACCAUGUGAUCUACCCAUGUCCAGGUUGAAGGUGCGGUAAAACGCACUGGAGGACCGAACCCACGUACGUUGAAAAGUGCGGGGAUGAGGUGUGGGUAGCGGAGAAAUUCCAAACGAACUUGGAGAUAGCUGGUUCUCUCCGAAAUAGCUUUAGGGCUAGCCUCGGAAUUGAGAAUGAUGGAGGUAGAGCACUGUUUGGACUAGGGGCCCAUCUCGGGUUACCGAAUUCAGAUAAACUCCGAAUGCCAUUCAUUCAUAUCCGGGAGUCAGACUGUGAGUGAUAAGAUCCAUAGUCGAAAGGGAAACAGCCCAGACCACCAGCUAAGGUCCCAAAAUAUAUGUUAAGUGGAAAAGGAUGUGGGRUUGCACAGACAACUAGGAUGUUGGCUUAGAAGCAGCCAYCAUUUAAAGAGUGCGUAAUAGCUCACUAGUCGAGUGACCCUGCGCCGAAAAUGUACCGGGGCUAAACAUAUUACCGAAGCUGUGGAGUACACCUUUAGGUGUAUUGGUAGGAGAGCGUUCUAAGGGCGUCGAAGGCAGAUCGUGAGGACUGCUGGAGCGCUUAGAAGUGAGAAUGCCGGUAUGAGUAGCGAAAGACAGGUGAGAAUCCUGUCCACCGAAUGACUAAGGUUUCCUGGGGAAGGCUCGUCCGCCCAGGGUUAGUCGGGACCUAAGCCGAGGCCGACAGGCGUAGGCGAUGGAUAACAGGUUGAUAUUCCUGUACCCGUUGUUUUUGUUUGAGCAAUGGAGGGACGCAGGAGGCUAAGGAAUGCAGACGAUCGGAAAUGUCUGUCCAAGCAGUAAGUCUGAAGAGGAGUCAAAUGCUUCUUUUCUUAAGGACAAGCUGUGAUGGGGAGGGAAAUAAUAGUACCGAAGUUCCUGAUGUCACACUGCCGAGAAAAGCUUCUAGUGAGAAAACAGCGGCCCGUACCGCAAACCGACACAGGUAGUCGAGGAGAGAAUCCUAAGGUGAGCGAGAGAACUCUCGUUAAGGAACUCGGCAAAAUGACCCCGUAACUUCGGGAGAAGGGGUGCUGAUCAUACGAUCAGCCGCAGUGAAUAGGCCCAAGCGACUGUUUAUCAAAAACACAGGUCUCUGCAAAAUCGUAAGAUGAAGUAUAGGGGCUGACGCCUGCCCGGUGCUGGAAGGUUAAGAGGAGUGCUUAGCGCAAGCGAAGGUACGAAUUGAAGCCCCAGUAAACGGCGGCCGUAACUAUAACGGUCCUAAGGUAGCGAAAUUCCUUGUCGGGUAAGUUCCGACCCGCACGAAAGGCGUAACGAUUUGGGCACUGUCUCAACGAGAGACUCGGUGAAAUUUUAGUACCUGUGAAGAUGCAGGUUACCCGCGACAGGACGGAAAGACCCCAUGGAGCUUUACUGUAGUUUGAUAUUGAGUGUCUGUACCGCAUGUACAGGAUAGGUAGGAGCCGUAGAAAUCGGAACGCUAGUUUCGAUGGAGGCGCUGGUGGGAUACUACCCCUGCGUUAUGGCCACUCUAACCCGCACCACUAAUCGUGGUGGGAGACAGUGUCAGAUGGGCAGUUUGACUGGGGCGGUCGCCUCCUAAAAGGUAACGGAGGCGCCCAAAGGUUCCCUCAGAAUGGUUGGAAAUCAUUCGAAGAGUGUAAAGGCAGAAGGGAGCUUGACUGCGAGACCAACAAGUCGAGCAGGGACGAAAGUCGGGCUUAGUGAUCCGGUGGUUCCGCAUGGAAGGGCCAUCGCUCAACGGAUAAAAGCUACCCUGGGGAUAACAGGCUUAUCUCCCCCAAGAGUCCACAUCGACGGGGAGGUUUGGCACCUCGAUGUCGGCUCGUCGCAUCCUGGGGCUGUAGUCGGUCCCAAGGGUUGGGCUGUUCGCCCAUUAAAGCGGCACGCGAGCUGGGUUCAGAACGUCGUGAGACAGUUCGGUCCCUAUCCGUCGCGGGCGUUGGAAAUUUGAGAGGAGCUGUCCUUAGUACGAGAGGACCGGGAUGGACUUACCGCUGGUGUACCAGUUGUUCUGCCAAGGGCAUUGCUGGGUAGCUAUGUAGGGAAGGGAUAAACGCUGAAAGCAUCUAAGUGUGAAGCCCACCUCAAGAUGAGAUUUCCCAUUUCUUUAAGAAAGUAAGAUCCCUGAGAGAUGAUCAGGUAGAUAGGUCAGGAGUGGAAGUACAGUGAUGUAUGGAGCGGACUGAUACUAAUCGAUCGAGGACUUAACCAAU